rnacentral:rRNA from 1 species
ACGGGAGGCAGCAGUGGGGAAUAUUGGGCAAUGGGGGAAACCCUGACCCAGCAACGCCGCGUGAAGGAUGAAGGCUUUCGGGUUGUAAACUUCUUUUAUCAGGGACGAAUAAAGUGACGGUACCUGAAGAAUAAGCCCCGGCUAACUACGUGCCAGCAGCCGCGGUAAUACGUAGGUGGCAAGCGUUGUCCGGAUUUAAUGGGUGUAAAGGGCGCGUAGGCGGGAUAGCAAGUCAGGAGUGAAAUCUAUGGGCUUAAACCAAAAACUGCUUUUGAAACUGUUAGUCUUGAGUAUCGGAGAGGCAGGCGGAAUUCCUAGUGUAGCGGUGAAAUGCGUAGAUAUUAGGAGGAACACCAGUGGCGAAGGCGGCCUGCUGGACGACAACUGACGCUGAGGCGCGAAAGCGUGGGGAGCAAACAGGAUUAGAUACCCUGGUA